UCUAUCUCCUCCAGUCUCCAGGAAGAUGUCUGCACACCUGUUUAUAGGUAAGGAUGGGGGAGGGGCAUGCUGUGUAUAUAUUGGACCUUAUCAAUGGAAAUGAUUGUCUCUCUCAGUUCCAGUAUCGGUUCCGCUCCUCCAUGUCUCAUGUCUCCGGAAUGACAGCGCUGAGAUCUCCUGCAGGGUGGAGGCGGGGACUAAGCCAAAUAUCAGCCUAUCUGUGAUUGGAGGAUCCCAGGAGAGAUAUUCCGCAUCCGCCAAUAAUAUUACAGCCAUUGUGGGGUCACCGGGGCCCUGGAACAUCACCUGUACUGUGGAGAAUGGGGUCAGCCGGUCGGAGGAGAGCAGAGCCGGGGUCACCUGUCCAGUCCCCCUCUCUGACAUCACUGUGACCUCCUCCUGUCUUCCGGAUGGCAGCGCAGUGGCCGUCUGUUUGGUGAAAGGAUCAGAUCCGAAUUAUUCCUGGAGUUUGGAUGGAAGAUCCGUCUCCUCAGAUAGCUGGAUUACUCUUCCUCCUCCGGUCUCCGGAACCCUCCACUGUGAUGUCACCAAUCAGAUCAAUAAUCUAAGUAGAUCCAUCAACAUCUCCUGUGCAG